GUGCACCAGAGCCCACUUAUGUGAAGGUCAGAUUAUCUUACUCCUGCUUCCCAUGUAAGGCCCAGAGAGGUGAAAAGCUACACCCAAAGCCCUCCCCAGCUCUUGGAACCCAGAUGCUUCAGAGAUACCCUUAGCCCUUCUCCCCAGUGCUUCCCCAUGGCCCAGUAAACCAUGACAGCAGCAGCUCUCCCUCUCCAGCCCCAUCACAGUGCCACGGCCCAUGUUCUCUCCCUGAAGCUGCUCCAUUAGCUUUCAGACUGAGAAUCUUAAAAGCUGUGUGGGCCGGGCAAGAUGGCUCACGUCUGUAAUCCCAGCAUCCCAGCACUUUGGGAGGCCGAGGCGGGCAGAUUACGAGGUCAGGAUUUCAAGACCAGCCUGACCAAUAUGGUGAAACCCCGUCUCUACUAACAAUACAAAAAUUAACCAGGCAUGGUGGUGCGCGCCUGUAGUCCCAGCUACUCGGGAGCCUGAGGCAGGAGAAUUGCUUGAACACGGGAGAUGGAGGUUGCAGUGAGCCAAGAUCGCGCCACUGCACUACAGCCUGGGCGACAGAGCGAGACUCUGUUUCAAAGAAAAGAAAAAAAGCUGUGUGACCCUGAGGAUUCUACCAUUUACUGAACAAGCUCCCACUGCCAGGUUACAUGAUAAUUUAACAUGUAUGUUUUCAUUUAAUCCCUAUGACAUAGAUUUUAUUAUUAUUUUCAUUUUACUGACCAGAAAACUGAGGUUCAGAGAUGUAAGCUAUUUGCCUACGGUCCCAAAGCCAAUAGUUGAUGCGUAUGGAUGUGAACUGAGGUUAGCUCCAGGCUCAAGGUCUCUGCUAAUACUGUCCUUAGUAAGGUUUCUCUGAAGAGCCUCUUUACUCAUAGGCUGAUUAGCAAAGGGUUCCUAAAUAUGCUUAAGAAUCAAUAACCAUUAAAAAUCCCUCACCCUACAAGAAACUCCCCAUCAAAAAACUGGAUCAGUGAAAUGAACAGGCAAUACACAGAAAUGGAAGUACCCGUAAGAAAAAUAGUUUACUACCCUAGUAAUCAAAGAAAAACAAAAUUACACGGGUGUAUUCCUUUUGGCUUAUCAGAUUGGAAAAUAUUUUUCUAAAAAGAAAAAUGUAAUUAUCUUGUAAUGACUACACUAAAAAUCUAGGGCAUAAUUGACUUAAUUUACUCCAAAUGUGUUGCUAUUGCGUCCAUAGCACGGACUUGCCCAUUUCAACUCAAUAUAUGUUACGCUUGGGGUAGUUUAUUACAAUGAGCAAUAAACAUUCUCAUAAUCGCCAAGACAAGCCAAGUGCAAAACAGGAAGGGCGAAGACAGAGGGCAGCAGGUGGUCCCUCUCGC
rnacentral:lncRNA from 10 species